GCGGGUGUAGUUCACUGGUAGAAUAUCUCCUUCCCAAGGAGAGGAAGAGGGUCCGAUUCCCUUCACCCGCU
rnacentral:tRNA from 1 species